rnacentral:tRNA from 1 species
ACACGGUCGUCCUCGGUGGACGGGCGUCCUUGCGCGAUGCCGGCCACGCCGGACGCCAGCAGGAACCGACGGUUCGACCCGGCCAGCGCGUC